rnacentral:rRNA from 1 species
GACGAACGCUGGCGGCGUGCUUAAUACAUGCAAGUCGAACGGACAGGCCAUGCUUUUGUGGGGUGGUCGAUUGGCGAACGGGUGAGUAAAACGUGUGUAAACUGCCCUUGUCUUUGGGAUAACAUUUGGAAACUGGGGCUAAUACAGGAUAGGAGCUCCUGCUCCGUGUUGGGGGUUGGAAAGUUUCGGCGGUUGGGGCUGGACUCGCUGCUUAUCCGCUAGUUUGUGGGGUAGUGGCUUACCAAGGCUUUGACGGGUAGCCUGCGUGAGAGGGUGACCGGCCACCAUGGGACUGAGAUACGGCGCAGACGCCUACGGGAGGCAGCAGUGGGGAAUAUUGCACAAUGGGCGGAAGCCUGAUGCAGCAACGCCGCGUGCGGGAUGACGGCCUUCGAGUUGUAAACCGCUUUCGCCUGUGACGAAGCGUGAGUGACGGUAAUGGGUAAAGAAGCACCGGCUAACUACGUG